ACGGUAGAUUAUAUAANUGAAGGACAGGUACAGCGAUGUAAUCUUAAUAUAUUAAUAUAAAUUUUUAUAUUAUUGAGGGGGCCUUGAAAUCCUACGAUUAAGUAUUUGNCUCGGAAGGGCUUUGAUGAAUAUAUAAUUAUCAGACAUAGUACUGAUAAGGNUGUAUGUCUAAAGGGAAACAGCCCAGAACAAGAGUUAAUAAGGUUCCUAAAUUAUUAUUAAGUGAAAUUAAGGUAGUGUUUAUCCUAACCGAUCAGGAAGUGGGCUUAGCAAGCGGUCAUCUUUUAAAGACCUNGNAAAAGAGCACUGAUUAAAUCAACUAAGAUAAAGGCACCGAAAAUUUAACGGAUCUAAAUAAUACACCUAAACCUUGUCCAUAUAUAUUGGUAUAAAAAUAGUAUAUAAAGUAGUUAUAUUUAGUUAUAUAUGGGGUAGCAGAACAUAGGAUAAAUAUUGGAUUUAUUCUAUAUGAGAAUAAUAAAUAUAUGAUCCUAGAGAUAAUGCUGACAUGAGUAACGAUAAAGGGAAUAAAUCCCUCGCCUAAAGCUUACUGGAAUUUCUUUAUGUAACGGCCUCUAAGUNAAUAUUAAAACUAAAAAUAACUAAUGGANUCUAUACNAUGAGAAAAUCAGGAACUAAGAAGUAGUAUAAUAACAAAGUAAAAUAUGUACAAAGUAGAGCCNAGUUAAGUAAUUCUAAUGUUGUAGAGUCUUAUAGUACCUUCGGUUCUGGAAAAAACUUAUAAUUAGGCACCGUACCUAGACAACUACCUCGGUAGUAGUGAGAAUACGAAGGCGUUNAUGNAACAAU
rnacentral:rRNA from 1 species